CCCUAGCCCGGAUAGAAGCGGUUACCCCACAGCGGGGUUGGAGCGUUGGAGCGUAAAGGGUUUGGCGUUGGAGCACAUCGGUGAAGCUCGGCGCGAGGAGUAUGAGCGGAGAGCCGGAAAAAGC
rnacentral:misc_RNA from 1 species